rnacentral:rRNA from 1 species
UACGUAGGGGCCAAGCGUUAUUCGGAUUUACUGGGCGUAAAGAGUGCGUAGGCGUUUUGAUACAUCUUGUAUUAAAGCCCCUGUCUUAACCAGGGAAAUGUACAAGAGAUGGUUAAAAUAGAGGGCGUUAGAGGCAAGCGGAACUUGCAGUGUAGGAGUAAAAUCCGUUGAUAUUGCAAGGAACACUAAUGGCGAAAGCAGCUUGCUGGGGCGCUCCUGACGCUGAGGCACAAAAGCGUGGGUAGCGAACGGG